CCCUUUAUGUAACCAAGAUUUUCUACAAUAUCCUCAAUUUUAAAAUAAGAAAUAUAAUCUUUGUCAAAAUCAUAAUAAAAUCCUAAUCUUUUAUCAAUGUACCUCUUACGAGGCCUAUCAACAAACUUCCCUCCAAAAUGCACUCGAAAAGAAACAAUACUUGGGUCUAACAUAUCUAUAUUGAACAUCAAAAAAUACAUAAAACAAAUAU
rnacentral:lncRNA from 1 species